GAUGAACGCUGGCGGCGUGCUUAACACAUGCAAGUCGAACGAAGCACUUUAUUUGAUUUCCUUCGGGACUGAAGAUUUUGUGACUGAGUGGCGGACGGGUGAGUAACGCGUGGGCAACCUGCCUCAUACAGGGGGGAUAACAGUUGGAAACGACUGCUAAUACCGCAUAAGCGCACAGUGCUGCAUGGCACAGUGUGAAAAACUCCGGUGGUAUGAGAUGGACCCGCGUCUGAUUAGCCAGUUGGUGGGGUAACGGCCUACCAAAGCGACGAUCAGUAGCCGACCUGAGAGGGUGACCGGCCACGAUUGGGGACUGGAGACACGGGCCCAAAACUCCUACGGGAGCAGCAGUGGGAAUAUG
rnacentral:rRNA from 1 species